rnacentral:rRNA from 1 species
GGAACACGUGUGUACUAGCUUUAUCUGGGGGAUAGCCUUUCGAAAGGAAGAUUAAUACCCCAUAAUAUGUUGAAUGGCAUCAUUCGACAUUGAAAACUCCGGUGGAUAGAGAUGGGCACGCGCAAGAUUAGAUAGUUGGUGAGGCAACGGCUCACCAAGUCUACGAUCUUUAGGGGGGCCUGAGAGGGUGAUCCCCCACACUGGUACUGAGACACGGACCAGACUCCUACGGGAGGCAGCAGUGAGGAAUAUUGGACAAUGGGUGAGAGCCUGAUCCAGCCAUCCCGCGUGAAGGACGACUGCCCUAUGGGUCGUCAAACCUCUUCCGUCAUACGGGAUAAACCUACCCUCGUGAGGGUAGCUGAAGGUACUAUCACGAAUAAGCACCCGGGCUAAACUCCGGUGCCAGCAAGCCCGCGGCUAAUAACGGACGGUUGCCAACNGCCGUNAAUCCCGGAAUCAAUNCCGGGNGCUACACCAAAAAGGGGUCCCGGAANNGACGGCAUCCUCGCAACAAGUNCAAGCUCGGCUGACACUUCUCCACACAAGCNUCUAAACCUCGUCCCANAAACCGCUCUGGCACCCACUCCAGGGCCUUCA